GACGAACGCUGGCGGCGUGCCUAAUACAUGCAAGUAGAACGCUGAAGCGAGGAGCUUGCUCUUCUUGGAUGAGUUGCGCACGGGUGAGUAACGCGUAGGUAACCUGCCUUGUAGCGGGGGAUAACUAUUGGAAACGAUAGCUAAUACCGCAUAACAAUGGAUUACACAUGGCAUUUAUUUGAAAGGGGCAAUUGCUCCACUACAAGAUGGACCUGCGUUGUAUUAGCUAGUAGGUGAGGUAAUGGCUCACCUAGGCGACGCUACAUAGCCGACCUGAGAGGGUGGGCGGCCAGACUGGGACUGAGACACGGCCCAGACUGCUACGGGAGGCAGCCGUAGGGAAUCGUCGGCAAUCGGGGCAACCCUGACCGAGCAACGCCGCGUGAGUGAAGAAGGUUGUCGGAUCGGAAAGCUCGGUUGUAAGUCAAGAACGGGUGUGAGAGUGGAAAGUUCACACUGUGACGGUAGCUGACCAGAAAGGGACGGCUAACUACGUG
rnacentral:rRNA from 1 species